CAAGAUGCCAUUAAUAGUGCCCGCAAGCACCGGUUCCACGCCCCAUGCCUCAAAAACCGUCAAUGUUUUUAUGAAGAAAACUCAGCAGCUACUUUAACGCAGCAAGAUCCCACAAACAAUAUACUCAAUAUCAACAGCAGGUGGGAUGAGUGACUCUUCACUCACUCAGGACAGAAGUGUGACCUCCACUUAUUGCGAACUCGCUGCAACAUCACAAGAUGGGCUAACUGAUUGAAUCUCAUCCCACACACUGAACAGUUGAACAGUCUCUCCUCCGGUGUGAACUUGUUGGUGCAUCUGCAGACACAGUGGCCUAGUAGAUCCCUGAAAAAAUCAGAGCCAGUGAAUGACAUCUCACUGCUACCAACUCUAUGGUAAUUUAUCCAGACAGAUCACUGAAGUGUAUAGUACACGUAUUCCGGUCCUCUUUGCUACGACUGGUGUGAUUUCUUCUCCAGGAUCUCCUCCUCCACGAUCAAGGAUUGGUGUCAUUCAAGAGCUGGUGAACUGACAGACAGAGUAGAACUGACGUGCUGUUGUGUUUGAGAUUCUGAUUCACAAAAUCUUUUGCCUUUUCAACCCUGCAAGAAGUUUGCAAAGGAUUUUAAUGUGUAAAGGACAACAUUAUCAGCUGAGAUAACCUCAGUCAUUAUGGUGUUACAGCGAGGCACAACACAAUUUGGAGGAACAACACUUCAUCUUCUAACCCGACACAAUUCAGACAUCCGGCCACAACAUCAAAUUCUCUGCCUUCCUGUCUGUAUCAGAAUGAAUCAUUUCUGCCCUUCAGCAGUCUGUGACUUGGCUCAGUUUGUCUCUCUCAAUCAGUGUAGUUUCAUGUUCUGGGCAUAUCUCAUAGACCUACUCAGAGCACAUUACUCUGUACCCAGAGGGAAAAGAAGAUUCUAGGGGUAUCCAGAACUAGAGGGCAUAGCCUCAAAAUUGAGAGGUGACUCUUUAGGACAGAGGUAAGGAGGAAUUUUUUUUUAGCCAGAGAGUAGCAAAUCCGUGGAAUACUCUGCCACACUUCUGCAGUGAAGGCCAAAUCUGUGGGUAUAUUUAAGGCAGAAGUUGAUCGUUUCCUGAACAGUCAGGGCAUCAGAUUCAGGUUCAGUUUAUUGUCAUUUAGAAACCACGAAUGCAAUGCAGUUAAAAAAUGAGACAACAUUCUGCGGAACGAUAUCACAAAAAAAAAAGCACAUGACAAAAUAGAUCACACAAGAAAAACCACAUAACAUUUGGUAAUUCCCAAUCCAGAGUCUGGAGAGGCUGCUGCAUAUCAAUAUCGUGCUACCAUCUUAGCACGUACCCCGGAAAGGAGCUCCAAACCCAUCAGACAAAACAAGACUACCCAGACACACCAAAUCAAGAGACCAGCACUACCACCCAACAAAUCAAAAACCUAGACAAAACCACAUAGUUAUAGUUAAUGUUUAGUUGCAACAGUGCAGACAAUACCAUAAUUGAUAAAAGACUGACUGACAAAAACCACAUAAUUUAACAUAUAGUUCCAACAGUGCAAAGCAAUACCAUAAUCUGAUAAAGAGCAGACCAUGGGCACGGUAAAAAAAAGUCUCAAAGUCCUCAAUAGCCCAUCAUCUCAUGCAGACGGUAGAAGGAAGAAAAACUCUUCCUGCCAUCAACCUCCAGUGCCUCAACCUUGCCAAUACAGGCCCCUGGAAGCACCUCGCAUAUCAAAGGAUAUGUUGAGAAGGCAGGUGUAUAGAGUUGAGUGGAAUCCGGAAUCAGCCGUGAUGGAAUGAUGGAGCAAACUCGAUGGGCUGAAUGACCUAAUUCUGUUCCUAUGUCUUGUGGUCUUAUGAUCUAAGAGAAACAUGGUGUCAGUGGUGGACAGUCAGAAUCAUAACAUGUUGAACAGAGGUGAUUUCCUAAAUGAGCAAAGGUGAUACAAUGAUUUUGUCGACUGUCCAUUCCUCUCCAAAGACAUUGCCUGACCUGCUGAGUUCCUCCAGCAUUUUGUGUGUGGCUGGAUUAAGUGGAUCAUUUUCAGACUGGAAGGAGGCAACUUUGAGAGCUUUCAGAGUACCCCAGGGAUCACCAGGAGGGAACAAGAUGUGAGAUGUCCGAGUCUGCUGAUGACACAGAAACAGUGGAAGGAAAUCAUUGUGAUUCUGUAUCAAGAGAUUCAGAAGGCAGACAGCACUUGGCCGUUACUGCACAGGGAGUGGAGUUUAGGAAUGGGCCGGUGUAGUUACCAUUGUACACGGUGUUGGUGGAAUUCUGUGCAUGGUUUUAUUCCCUGAGCUAAAGGAAACAAUAAGAGGGAUAUUGGAGGCAGUCCUGAGGAGAUUCACCAAGGAAAUUUCUGGAAUAAUCUAACUUUACUUUAUUGUCACCAAACAAUUGAUACUAGAGUGUUCAAUCAUCACAACGAUAUUUGCUUCUGUGCUUCGUGCCCCUUGAAGUACAAAUCAAAGUAAAUAUAAUAAAAAUUUAAAUUAUAAAUCAUAAUUAGAAAAUAGAAAAGGGAAAGUACGGUAGUGCAAGUCAGGUCCGGAUAUUUGGAAGGUACGGCCCAGAUCUGGGUCAGUAUUCCUUCAGCAGCCUUAUCACAGUUGGAAAGAAGCUGUUCUCAAAUCUGGCCGUACGAAUCUUUAUGCUCCUGAACCAUCUCCCGGAGGGAAGAGGGACAAAAAGUGUGUUGGCUGGGUGGGUCGUGUCCUUGAUUACCCUGGCAGCACUGCUCCGACAGCAUGCGGUGUAAAGUGAGGUGUAAACUGCAGAGAUGAAACAGUUUGGGCUUGAAUUUAGAGUAUAUUCACAUAUGACGCUGAGGGGAAUUGAUGGAGGAUCAGUGAGAGAGCCAUGAACAGGGGUCAAUUGCUGCUAGUCAUUUCAAAUAAAGGCAUGUGGAAAUUCUGGAAUUCUGUCCAAGGUUACAAUCUCUGGGAUUCACUAUCCCAGUUGGUGGGAUAUAUUUGAGGUGGAGAUAGAUAAAUGCUUAAGGGAGUGAGGAACUGAGGGGUAGGAGAACAGGCACAGGAGCUGGGAUCACUGUAGAUUAAUCAGACACAAUGGUGUUGAGCAUAAGAGAAAGGAGCAUUAUUAGACCAUUCAGUCCCUCGAGUCUGUUCCACUGUGGCGGAUUUAUUAUCCGUCUCAAACUCCUUCUCCCGGCUUCUUCCUGUCACCCUUUGACACUCCGACUAAUCAAGAACCUAUCAACCUCCAAUUUAAAUAUACCCAAUGACUUGGCCUCCAGCUGUCUAUGGCAAUGAAUUCCGCAGAUGCACAAUGCUCUAGUCAAAUAAGUUCUUCCUCCUCUGUUCUAAUGGGACACCCCUCUAUUCUGAGGCAGUGCUCUCCCCACGAUAGGAAACAUUCUCUCCACAUCCACUUUUCUGGGCCACUCAGUAUUUAAGAUUUCAGCCAUCACUGUACUUCCCACACUGAGCCAAUUAUGAGUGAUCUCUCCCUGGACCCCUUGGGAUCUAACCUUCCGGACCAGCCUGCCGUGGGGAACCUUGCAAAAAUCUAAACAGAGUUAUCCAUCUUACUGCUCCACAGAAGACCCCAAAACAUCUCUUUCUUGAUCGCAAAAUACCCAAUCUCACUAUCUUUUAUGUCCUUCCUGGUGAGCACAGGUACAAAGUAUUCCAACAUCCUCACACUCCAAGGAUGAAAUACUCCCUUUAUCCUUAAAUGGCCCUAAGCUCUGGCAAGUUAACCUCGUUCUUAAAUCACAUAAAAUGCACUGGGAUUCUUAUCUCAUGCCUCCCAUUUGGUCUUCCCAAUACCUUGCUUUUGUUCUUCUCAGCUUUCUUUAUAUUCUGCCAAGGCUCUUCAUAAACUUUAUAUGCUUACAGACAGACAGACAUACUUUAUUGAUCCUGAGGGAAAAUGGGUUUUGUUACAGUUGCACCAACCAAGAAUAGUGCAGAAAUAUAAAACAAUAAAUAAUUAAAUAAUAAGGAAAUGAUGCCAAGUGGAAAUAAGUCCAGGACCAGCCUACUGGCUCAAGGUGUCUGACACUCUGAGGGAGGAGUUGUAAAGUUUGAUGGCCACAGGCAGGAAUGACUUCCUAUGAUGCUCAGUGUUGCAUCUCGGUGGAAUGAGUCUCUGGCUACUUUGUCAUUUGAUUAAAUUCACUAUCUCGUCA